GAUGAACGCUGGCGGCGUGCCUAAUACAUGCAAGUCGAGCGAACAGACGAGGAGCUUGCUCCUCUGACGUUAUCGGCGGACGGGUGAGUAACACGUGGAUAACCUACCUAUAAGACUGGGAUAACUUCGGGAAACCGGAGCUAAUACCGGAUAAUAUAUUGAACCGCAUGGUUCAAUAGUGAAAGACGGUUUUGCUUUCACUUAUAGAUGGAUCCGCGCCGCAUUAGCUAGUUGGUAAGGUAACGGCUUACCAAGGCAACGAUGCGUAGCCGACCUGAGAGGGUGAUCGGCCACACUGGAACUGAGACACGGUCCAGACUCCUACGGGAGGCAGCAGUAGGGAAUCUUCCGCAAUGGGCGAAAGCCUGAAGGAGCAACGCCGCGUGAGUGAUGAAGGUCUUCGGAUCGUAAAACUCUGUUAUUAGGGAAGAACAAAUGUGUAAGUAACUAUGCACGUCUUGACGGUACCUAAUCAGAAAGCCACGGCUAACUACGUG
rnacentral:rRNA from 1 species